rnacentral:rRNA from 1 species
GUGCCAGCCGCCGCGGUAAUACGGAGGGUGCAAGCGUUGUUCGGAAUUACUGGGCGUAAAGCGCGUGUAGGCGGCACUCUAAGUCUGGUGUGAAAGCCCGGGGCUUACCCCCGGAAGUGCAUUGGAUACUGGAGUACUAGAGUACCGGAGAGGAGGGUGGAAUUCCUGGUGUAGCGGUGAAAUGCGUAGAUAUCAGGAAGAACACCGGUGGCGAAGGCGGCCCUCUGGACGGAUACUGACGCUGAGACGCGAAAGCGUGGGGAGCAAACAGGAUUAGAUACCCUCGUAGUCC